CCAAGACUAUGAUGUGUAGCCGGGCUGAGAGGUUGAACGGCCACAUUGGGACUGAGACACGGCCCAAACUCCUACGGGAGGCAGCAGUAGGGAAUUUUCGGCAAUGGAGGAAACUCUGACCGAGCAACGCCGCGUGAACGAUGAAGUAUUUCGGUACGUAAAGUUCUUUUAUUAGGGAAGAAUAAAUGAUGGAAAAAUCAUUCUGACGGUACCUAAUGAAUAAGCCCCGGCUAACUAUGUGCCAGCAGCCGCGGUAAUACAUAGGGGGCAAGCGUUAUCCGGAAUUAUUGGGCGUAAAGGGUGCGUAGGCGGUUAAAUAAGUUUAUGGUCUAAGUGCAAUGCUUAACAUUGUGAUGCUAUAAAAACUGUUUAGCUAGAGUAAGAUAGAGGCAAGUGGAAUUCCAUGUGUAGUGGUAAAAUGCGUAAAUAUAUGGAGGAACACCAGUGGCGAAGGCGGCUUGCUGGGUCUUUACUGACGCUGAGGCACGAAAGCGUGGGGAGCAAACAGGAUUAGAUACCCUGGUAGUCCACGCCGUAAACGAUGAGUACUAAAUGUUGGGUAAAACCAGUGUUGAAGUUAACACAUUAAGUACUCCGCCUGAGUAGUACGUACGCAAGUAUGAAACUUAAAGGAAUUGACGGGACUCCGCACAAGCGGUGGAUCAUGUUGUUUAAUUCGAAGGUACCCGAAAAACCUCACCAGGUCUUGACAUGCUUCUGCAAAGCUGUAGAAACACAGUGGAGGUUAUCAGUUGCACAGGUGGUGCAUGGUUGUCGUCAGCUCGUGUCGUGAGAUGUUGGGUUAAGUCCCGCAACGAGCGCAACCCUUAUUGUUAGUUGCCAGCACGUAAUGGUGGGGACUUUAGCAAGACUGCCAGUGAUAAAUUGGAGGAAGGUGGGGACGACGUCAAAUCAUCAUGCCCCUUAUGACCUGGGCUACAAACGUGAUACAAUGGCUGUUACAAAGGG
rnacentral:rRNA from 1 species